rnacentral:rRNA from 1 species
UGAUUAGAGUUUGAUCCUGGCUCAGAGUGAACGCUGGCGGCGUGCUUAACACAUGCAAGUCGAACGAGAACGGUCCUUCGGGAUGUCAGCUAAGUGGCGGACGGGUGAGUAAUGUAUAGCUAAUGUGCCCCUUGGAGAGGGAUAACAGUUGGAAACGACUGCUAACACCUCAUACUCCUUCUAUAUUAAUUAUAGUUGGGAAACGUUUUUUCGCCAAGGGAUCGGGCUAUAUGGUAUCAGCUUGUUGGUGAGGUAAUGGCUCACCAAGGCUAUGACGCCUAACUGGUCUGAGAGGAUGAUCAGUCACACUGGAACUGAGACACGGUCCAGACUCCUACGGGAGGCAGCAGUGGGGAAUAUUGCACAAUGGAGGAGACUCUGGUGCAGCAACGCCGCGUGGAGGAUGACGCAUUUCGGUGUGUAAACUCCUUUUAUAUAGGAAGAUAAUGACGGUACCUCCAGAAGAAGACCCGGCCAACUACGUGCCAGCAGCCGCGGUAACACGUAGGGGCCAAACGUUGUCCGGAUUUAUUGGGCGUAAAGGGCUCGUAGGCGGCUCGACAAGUCAACCGUGACAGCCCGGGGCUCAACCCCGGGACGCCGGUCGAAACUGUCGUGGCUAGUGUCCGGUAGAGGUGAGUGGAAUUCUCGGUGUAGCGGUGAAAUGCGCAGAUAUCGAGAGGAACACCAGUAGCGAAGGCGGCUCACUGGGCCGGUACAGACGCUGAGGAGCGAAAGCGUGGGGAGCAAACAGGAUUAUUUUCCCUGGUAGUCCACGCCGUAAACGUUGAACCCUAUUUUUUCGUACUAAUCCACGUCUGCCGUGCCGCAGCUAACGCAUUAAGUUUCCGGCCUUAUAGUACCGGCCCUG